rnacentral:rRNA from 1 species
UACGGAGGGUGCAAGCGUUACUCGGAAUUACUGGGCGUAAAGCGUGCGCAGGCGGUUUGUUAAGUCCGUUGUGAAAUCCCCGAGCUCAACUUGGGAAUUGCAAUGGAUACUGGCAAGCUGGAGUAUGGUAGAGGAAGGUGGAAUUCCCGGUGUAGCAGUGAAAUGCGUAGAGAUCGGGAGGAACACCAGUGGCGAAGGCGGCCUUCUGGACCAAUACUGACGCUCAUGCACGAAAGCGUGGGGAGCAAACAGG